AUUGAACGCUGGCGGCAUGCCUAACACAUGCAAGUCGAGCGAGCGGCGGACGGGUGAGUAAGGUAUGGGGACUGCCCGAUAGAGGGGGAUAACUACUGGAAACGGUGGCUAAUACCGCAUACAGUCGGCUAACCCAUAUGGGAUUAGCUAGUCGGUAAGGGAAUGGCGUACCUAGGCGACGAUCCCUAGCUGGCCGGAGAGGAGGAUCGGCCAAACUGGGAAUGAGACACGGCCCAGACUCCGACGGAGGCAGCAGUAGGGAAUAUUCGACAAUGGACGCAAGCCUGAUGCAGCAAUGCCGCGUGUAUGAAGAAGGCCCUAGGGUUGUAAAGCACUGUCAGUCGGGAGGCGUUACCUAAAGAGGAAGCAACGGCUAACUCCGUGCCAGCAGCCGCGGUAAUAC
rnacentral:rRNA from 1 species